GGUACUUCCCGUCAAGGAAAAGUGCUAAUCAGCAGGUGGAGUCUUUGAUUGGAAGAAAGACUUGCAGACUCUUCACUUUCCACGAAAGCAUUAAGUAAGACGAAGAUGAAGAUGAAGAAGCUGUUGCAUAUUCAAGUGUACAAGUCACGGACAGACAGAAUGUUGCUAACCUGGAUUCUGAAGAGCAAUGACCAAACCAGCAUCUAACAGGUCUGAAGUGACAUCUGCAGUCCACUGCUUCGCUGGUCCUUUUAAUUUUUUUUAGUUUUAACCAAAAGCAAGUGUGACACUGGGAUCUACGAGCUUCACAGUGAGUCCGUGAAUGCAGCAUAGCAUUUAAACAAGCCACGCCUCCUCCGCUGUGUCACGCGCUGCCCACGCCGCCGCACGCCGCCUCUGCUACACCCAUUCAGAAGACCUGACUGAGCAUCUCCAUACAGAAACUGGGCCAGUUUCAACCCAUUUAUACAACACAC